CCUACGGGAGGCUGCAGUGGGGAAUAUUGGACAAUGGGGGGAACCCUGAUCCAGCCAUGCCGCGUGUGUGAAGAAGGCCCUCGGGUUGUAAAGCACUUUCAGUGAGGAAGAACGCCUGGUGGUUAAUACCCAUCAGGAAAGACAUCACUCACAGAAGAAGCACCGGCUAACUCCGUGCCAGCAGCCGCGGUAAUACGGAGGGUGCGAGCGUUAAUCGGAAUUACUGGGCGUAAAGCGCGCGUAGGUGGCUUGAUAAGCCGGUUGUGAAAGCCCCGGGCUCAACCGGGGAACGGCAUCCGGAACUGUCAAGCUAGAGUGCAGGAGAGGAAGGUAGAAUUCCCGGUGUAGCGGUGAAAUGCGUAGGGCUCGGGAGGAAUACCAGUGGCGAAGGCGGCCUUCUGGACUGACACUGACACUGAGGUGCGAAAGCGUGGGUAGCAAACAGGAUUAGAUACCCCUGUAGUC
rnacentral:rRNA from 1 species